rnacentral:rRNA from 1 species
GCUUACACAUGCGAAGUCGAGCGGAAAGGCCCUUCGGGGUACUCGAGCGGCGAACGGGUGAGUAACACGUGAGCAACCUGCCCCAGGCUUUGGGAUAACCCCGGGAAACCGGGGCUAAUACCGAAUAUGACCUCCGAUCGCAUGGUUGGUGGUGGAAAGUUUUUCGGCUUGGGAUGGGCUCGCGGCCUAUCAGCUUGUUGGUGGGGUGAUGGCCUACCAAGGCGACGACGGGUAGCCGGCCUGAGAGGGCGACCGGCCACACUGGGACUGAGACACGGCCCAGACUCCUACGGGAGGCAGCAGUGGGGAAUAUUGCACAAUGGGCGGAAGCCUGAUGCAGCGACGCCGCGUGAGGGAUGACGGCCUUCGGGUUGUAAACCUCUUUCAGCAGGGACGAAGCGUAAGUGACGGUACCUGCAGAAGAAGCGCCGGCCAACUACGUGCCAGCAGCCGCGGUAAGACGUAGGGCGCGAGCGUUGUCCGGAUUUAUUGGGCGUAAAGAGCUCGUAGGCGGCUUGUCGCGUCGACUGUGAAAACCCGCAGCUCAACUGCGGGCCUGCAGUCGAUACGGGCAGGCUAGAGUUCGGUAGGGGAGACUGGAAUUCCUGGUGUAGCGGUGAAAUGCGCAGAUAUCAGGAGGAACACCGGUGGCGAAGGCGGGUCUCUGGGCCGAUACUGACGCUGAGGAGCGAAAGCGUGGGGAGCGAACAGGAUUAGAUACCCUGGUAGUCCACGCUGUAAACGUUGGGCGCUAGGUGUGGGGGGCCUCUCCGGUUCCCUGUGCCGCAGCUAACGCAUUAAGCGCCCCGCCUGGGGAGUACGCCGCAAGGCUAAAACUCAAAGGAAUUGACGGGGGCCCGC